UUCUCGCUAUCACUUAUAGAUGKGCCCGCGGCGCAUUAGCUAGUUGGUGAGGUAACGGCUCACCAAGGCCACGAUGCGUAGCCGACCUGAGAGGGUGAUCGGCCACACUGGGACUGAGACACGGCCCAGACUCCUACGGGAGGCAGCAGUAGGGAAUCUUCCGCAAUGGACGAAAGUCUGACGGAGCAACGCCGCGUGAGUGAUGAAGGUUUUCGGAUCGUAAAACUCUGUUGUUAGGGAAGAACAAGUACCGGAGUAACUGCCGGUACCUUGACGGUACCUAACCAGAAAGCCACGGCUAACUACGUGCCAGCAGCCGCGGUAAUACGUAGGUGGCAAGCGUUGUCCGGAAUUAUUGGGCGUAAAGCGCGUCGCAGGCGGUUCCUUAAGUCUGAUGUCGAAAGCCCCCGGCUCAACCGGGGAGGGUCAUUGGAAACUGGGGAACUUGAGUGCAGAAGAGAAGAGCGGAAUUCCACGUGUAGCGGUGAAAUGCGUAGAGAUGUGGAGGAACACCAGUGGCGAAGGCGGCUCUUUGGUCUGUAACG
rnacentral:rRNA from 1 species